rnacentral:rRNA from 1 species
UACGUAGGGUGCGAGCGUUGUCCGGAUUUAUUGGGCGUAAAGAGCUCGUAGGCGGUUUGUCGCGUCGGCCGUGAAAUCUCCACGCUUAACGCGGAGCGUGCGGUCGAUACGGGCAGACUUGAGUUCGGUAGGGGGAGACUGGAAUUCCUGGUGUAGCGGUGAAAUGCGCAGAUAUCAGGAGGAACACCGGUGGCGAAGGCGGGUCUCUGGGGCCGAUACUGACGCUGAGGAGCGAAAGCCGUGGGUAGCGAACAGG